rnacentral:tRNA from 1 species
UGUGGAGCGUAUCGAGGGUGAGUUGGCGGAGCUGCUGGCUCCGGUGACGCCUCGUUCCUGUGAGGUGCCGUUCUAUUCGACGGUCUCCGG